CACUCCAGCACCCAGAUGUGCAGACAGACAGGGAGACACUGAAUCCAACACUCAGAUGUGCAGACAGAGAGGCAGUGAGUGACUCCAGCACCCAGAUGUGCAGACAGACAGGGAGACACUGAAUCCAACACUCAGAUGUGCAGACAGAGAGGCAGUGAGUGACUCCAGUACCCAGAUGUGCAGACAGACAGGGAAGCAGUGCAGAGGCCCUGGUGGACAAUUCCCAAACCCCUUGAUCCCUGGCCAGUGCUGACAGCUUUGAGACCUUCUGGCCCAGGAGCUGUGUGUCCGGCUGACCCCAGCUGGCUCAGGAGCUCCUGUCCAGAGCACUUCUGCCCUGCCUGGGGAGGGCCCCAUCUGUCCUUGCCAGGGCCGAGUGCUGGGCUGCUCUGUGGAACACCCCAGGAGCUGGCAGUGCCUCUGUGGCCAUGGGCAGGGAGCCCUGGACCCCUGAGCCACCACUGAGUAAGUACUGCCCAGCUACUCCUCGUUCUCUCUGUUUGUUGUGUGUCUCAGUUUCCAGCCCAGAAGGAUCCUUUGCCACACGUGCCAUUCCCAGUGUUUGAAUUGCAUCCUGCAGUUAGACUUCGGUAAUCACCUGUGGGACAAUCAUGGUGUUCUCACCCUUGUGCAUUUCCAGCAUGUCCAGGGGAUUGUAGUGUGUCUGUAAAAGCCUGGCCAAGCUAAUGCUCACCUGUCAAUUAAACUAAAUACUGUGUUUGCUUCUGUUUCCUAUGAAUUUUAGGAGAUUGCUGAAUUAUUUUCUGGGAAUAGCCAACUAUGGCCUCUUUCUGGAGGGCUGUUAAUUUCAGGAUGUGCAUCUUCAUCAGUUAUUUAGUUUUGAUAGGUGGUCUCUUAGAUGGCCACAGUCCAGUCAGCAUGGAUGGACAACAGCUUGGACAAAUGUAUUUAUGUAUUUAUACAGUGACCACGUUAGCAUCUGUGUUUCAAACACAUCACAUCACUUCCACAGCACGUAACCAUGAGCAAAAGUGGAAAUACCAGCUCCUUCCCUCACCUUUCCCAGUAUUUCAUUUGUGAAACAGCUUUUAAAAAAAAAUAUUCCGAGCCAGGAGGUGAUGCAAUGAACACAUCAUCACAUGCCUGUGGGAAAGACAAUUAUCAAUGUCAAGUGCAAAACUUUCAUACCAUCUGUCAGGUUGAAAAGGAGCAAACCGUGAUUGCAUAAAGAGAGGAGGAAUUUUAUGUGUUUUCCUGGAAGUGCUGCAAAGCUGGG
rnacentral:lncRNA from 12 species